AUUGAACGCUGGCGGCAUGCCUUACACAUGCAAGUCGAACGGCAGCACGGGAGCAAUCCUGGUGGCGAGUGGCGAACGGGUGAGUAAAGUAUCGGAACGUGCCCAGUCGUGGGGGAUAACGUAGCGAAAGUUACGCUAAUACCGCAUACGAGCUAUGGAUGAAAGCGGGGGAUCGCAAGACCUCGCGCGAUUGGGGCGGCCGAUAUCAGAUUAGGUAGUUGGUGGGGUAAAGGCUCACCAAGCCGACGAUGUGUAGCUGGUCUGAGAGGACGACCAGUCACACUGGGACUGAGACACGGCCCAGACUCCUACGGGAGGCAGCAGUGGGGAAUUUUGGACAAUGGGCGAAAGCCUGAUCCAGCCAUGCCGCGUGCAGGAUGAAGGCCUUCGGGUUGUAAACUGCUUUUGUACGGAACGAAAAGGUUUGGCCUAAUAAGCUGAGCUCAUGACGGUACCGUAAGAAUAAGCACCGGCUAACUACGUGCCAGCCGCCGCUGUAA
rnacentral:rRNA from 1 species